UGGGGAAUCUUGGACAAUGGGCGCAAGCCUGAUCCAGCCAUGCCGCGUGGAUGAUGAAGGCCUUAGGGUUGUAAAAUCCUUUCGCCGAGGACGAUAAUGACGGUACUCGGAGAAGAAGCUCCGGCUAACUUCGUGCCAGCAGCCGCGGUAAUACGAAGGGGGCUAGCGUUGUUCGGAUUUACUGGGCGUAAAGCGCGUGUAGGCGGGUCGUUAAGUUGGGGGUGAAAUCCCGAGGCUCAACCUCGGAACUGCCUUCAAAACUGGCGACCUGGACCUAAGUAGAGGCAAGUGGAAUUGCGAGUGUAGAGGUGAAAUUCGUAGAUAUUCGCAGGAACACCAGUGGCGAAGGCGACUUGCUGGACUUAUGGUGACGCUGAGACGCGAAGGCGUGGGGAGCAAACAGGAUUAGAUACCCAAGUAGUCCCUGAGCGGGCUGGCAAGGCGCAU
rnacentral:rRNA from 1 species